CUGGUACUGAGACACGGACCAGACUCCUACGGGAGGCAGCAGUGAGGAAUAUUGGACAAUGGGCGCAAGCCUGAUCCAGCCAUGCCGCGUGCAGGAUGACGGUCCUAUGGAUUGUAAACUGCUUUUGUACAGGAAGAAACACUCCCUCGUGAGGGAGCUUGACGGUACUGUAAGAAUAAGGAUCGGCUAACUCCGUGCCAGCAGCCGCGGUAAUACGGAGGAUCCAAGCGUUAUCCGGAAUCAUUGGGUUUAAAGGGUCCGUAGGCGGUCAGAUAAGUCAGUGGUGAAAGCCCAUCGCUCCAACGGUGGAACGGCCAUUGAUACUGUCUGACUUGAAUUAUUAGGAAGUAACUAGAAUAUGUAGUGUAGCGGUGAAAUGCUUAGAGAUUACAUGGAAUACCAAUUGCGAAGGCAGGUUACUACUAAUGGAUUGACGCUGAUGGACGAAAGCGUGGGUAGCGAACAGGAUUAGAUACCCUGGUAGUCCACGCCGUAAACGAUGGAUACUAGCUGUUGGGAGCAAUCUCAGUGGCUAAGCGAAAGUGAUAAGUAUCCCACCUGGGGARGUACGUUCGCAAGAAUGAAACUCAAAGGAAUUGACGGGGGCCCGCACAAGCGGUGGAGCAUGUGGGUUUAAAUUCGAUGAUACGCGARGGAACCUUACCAAGGCUUAAAWUGUAGAUUGACCGGUUUGGAAACAGACUUUUCGCAAGACAAUUUACAAGGUGCUGCAUGGUUGUCGUCAGCUCGUGCCGUGAGGUGUCAGGUUAAGUCCUAUAACGAGCGCAACCCCUGUUGUUAGUUGCCAGCGAGUCAUGUCGGGAACUCUAACAAGACUGCCAGUGCAAACUGUGAGGAAGGUGGGGAUGACGUCAAAUCAUCACGGCCCUUACGCCUUGGGCUACACACGUGCUACAAUGGCCGGUAACAGAGAGCAGCCACUGGGCGACCAGGAGCGAAUCUAUAAAACCGGUCACAGUUCGGAUCGGAGUCUGCAACUCGACUCCGUGAAGCUGGAAUCGCUAGUAAUCGGAUAUCAGCCAUGAUCCGGUGAAUACGUUCCCCGGGCCUUGUACACACCGCCCGUCAAGCCAUGGAAGCUGGGGGUGCCUGAAGUCGGUGACCGCAAGGAGCUGCCUAGGGUAAAACUGGUAACUAGGGCUA
rnacentral:rRNA from 1 species